GACGAACGCUGGCGGCGUGCCUAACACAUGCAAGUCGAACGGGACUUAGUGGAAUGCGGCUUCGGCCAAAGGAAACUAAGUUUAGUGGCGAACGGGUGAGUAACGCGUGAGGAACCUGCCUUUCAGUGGGGGACAACAGUUGGAAACGACUGCUAAUACCGCAUAACAUAUUUGGAUCGCAUGAUCUGAAUAUCAAAGCUUUAUGUGCUGAAAGAUGGCCUCGCGUCUGAUUAGAUAGUUGGUGGGGUAACGGCCCACCAAGUCGACGAUCAGUAGCCGGUCUGAGAGGAUGAACGGCCACAUUGGGACUGAGAUACGGCCCAGACUCCUACGGGAGGCAGCAGUGGGGAAUAUUGGGCAAUGGGGGGAAACCCUGACCCAGCAACGCCGCGUGAAGGAAGAAGGCCCUCGGGUUGUAAACUUCUUUUAGCAGGGACGAAGGACGUGACGGUACCUGCAGAAAAGCAAACGGCUAAACUACGUG
rnacentral:rRNA from 1 species